CAGCAGCCGCGGGAAUACAGAGGAUGCAAGCGUUAUCCGGAAUGAUUGGGCGUAAAGCGUCUGUAGGUGGCUUUUCAAGUCCGCCGUCAAAUCCCAGGGCUCAACCCUGGACAGGCGGUGGAAACUACCAAGCUGGAGUACGGUCGGGGCAGAGGGAAUUUCCGGUGAAGCGGUGAAAUGCGUUGAGAUCGGAAAGAACACCAACGGCGAAAGCACUCUGCUGGGCCGACACUGACACUGAGAGACGAAAGCUAGGGGAGCAAAUGGGAUUAGAUACCCCAGUAGUCCCUGUCUCUUAUAA
rnacentral:rRNA from 1 species